rnacentral:rRNA from 1 species
UACGUAGGGGGCAAGCGUUGUCCGGAAUCACUGGGCGUAAAGCGCGUGUAGGCGGCCCGAUAAGUCCGCUGUGAAAGUCCAGGGCUCAACCCUGGGAUGCCGGUGGAUACUGUCGGGCUCGAGUCCGGAAGAGGCGAGUGGAAUUCCUGGUGUAGCGGUGAAAUGCGCAGAUAUCAGGAGGAACACCAAUGGCGAAGGCAGCUCGCUGGGACGUGACUGACGCUGAGACGCGAAAGCGUGGGGAGCAAACAGG